rnacentral:ncRNA from 1 species
GAGAGAAAUCCAACUAUAUAUAUUUUUUUUGUCAACAAAAAAUAAAAUAAAAUUAAAAGGGACAUUUCAAAGAUGUCUCAACCCUAAUACAAGAUCCAAAUACCACAUGUGACUAUAACCACACGUGGAUCAUAGCUAGUUGGUGAGGCAAUAGCUUACCAAGACAAUGAUCAAUAGCAGGUCCGAGAGGAUGAUCAGCCACACUGGGACUGAGACACGGCCCAGACUCCUAGGGAAG